GGCUUCAUAGCUCAGUUGGUUAGAGCAUCACACCGGUAUCGUGAGGUCAUGGGUUCAAACCACGUUGAAGCCC
rnacentral:tRNA from 1 species